rnacentral:lncRNA from 1 species
UCGAUUUUAUGCAAUUAUUAUAUAAGCUUUGACAAACAUGAGACCAUUACAAAAGUUCAAUCCUGAAGUACCAUAAGUGAGUUCCACACCUUCCCCAUUAUGCAUUCCAGAUUCCAACUGUUGAAGAUUCUCAUUCUAAAAGUUUCAGUCUUGCCAUCAGAAUAGGUGAGCGGUCAGCAAUGCUCUAUUUAUGAAAGACAUAUUUGGUACGCAUUAUUGAUUUUUGUCAUCCAUCGAUUUUAUGCAAUUAUUAUAUAAGCUUUGACAAACAUGAGACCAUUACAAAAGUUCAAUCCUGAAGUACCAUAAGUGAGUUCCACACCUUCCCCAUUAUGCAUUCCAGAUUCCAACUGUUGAAGAUUCUCAUUCUAAAAGUUUCAGUCUUGCCAUCAGAAUAGGUGAGCGGUCAGCAAUGCUCUAUUUAUGAAAGACAUAUUUGGUACGCAUUAUUGAGCAUCACAUCACUACACAGGAUAUAGGGAAAGAUAAUUCACAAAACGUUUGAUCCCCGUUGUGAGUGAUAUAUUGGGAAAAAGGGACAACA